rnacentral:rRNA from 1 species
ACGCUCGACACCUACGGAGGCAGCAGUGGGGAAUAUUGCACAAUGGGGGAAACCCUGAUGCAGCAACGCCGCGUGAAGGAAGAAGGUUUUCGGAUCGUAAACUUCUAUCAAUAGGGAAGAAAGAAAUGACGGUACCUAAAUAAGAAGCCCCGGCUAACUACGUGCCAGCAGCCAACGGUAAUCUGAGGCGGGCUGGCAAGGC